GGCUACGAGGACGAACGCUGGCGGCGUGCCUAACACAUGCAAGUCGAGCGAGAAUUUAGUAAUUGAUCCCUUCGGGGUGAUUUUGCUAAGGAAAGCGGCGGACGGGUGAGUAACGCGUGAGUAACCUGCCCUUUGGAGUGGGAUAACACAGAGAAAUCUGUGCUAAUACCGCAUAAUAUAUGUUUACCGCAUGAUAGACAUAUCAAAGAUUUAUCGCCAAAGGAUGGACUCGCGUCUGAUUAGAUAGUUGGUGAGGUAACGGCUCACCAAGUCGACGAUCAGUAGCCGAACUGAGAGGUUGAUCGGCCACAUUGGGACUGAGACACGGCCCAGACUCCUACGGGAGGCAGCAGUGGGGAAUAUUGCGCAAUGGGGGAAACCCUGACGCAGCAACGCCGCGUGAAGGAAGAAGGUCUUCGGAUUGUAAACUUUUGUCUUAUGGGAAGAAUUUUGACGGUACCAUAGGAGGAAGCCACGGCUAACUACGUG
rnacentral:rRNA from 1 species